rnacentral:rRNA from 1 species
UACGUAGGGUGCAAGCGUUGUCCGGAAUUAUUGGGCGUAAAGAGCUCGUAGGCGGUUUGUCGCGUCUGCUGUGAAAACUCAGGGCUUAACCCUGAGCCUGCAGUGGGGUACGGGCAGACUAGAGUGUGGUAGGGGAGAUCGGAAUUCCUGGUGUAGCGGUGGAAUGCGCAGAGUAUCGAGGAGGAACACCGGUGGCGAAGGCGGAUCUCUGGGCCGAUAACUGACGCUGAGACGAAAGCGUGGGGA